rnacentral:rRNA from 1 species
CCUACGGGCGGCAGCAGUGGGGAAUAUUGGACAAUGGGCGAAAGCCUGAUCCAACCAUGCCGCGUGUGUGAAGAAGGCCUUCGGGUUGUAAAGCACUUUCAGUGGGGAAGAAAGCCUUGGGGCUAAUACCCUCGAGGAAGGACAUCACCCACAGAAGAAGCACCGGCUAACUCCGUGCCAGCAGCCGCGGUAAUACGGAGGGUGCGAGCGUUAAUCGGAAUUACUGGGCGUAAAGCGCGCGUAGGCGGUCUGAUAAGCCGGUUGUGAAAGCCCCGGGCUCAACCUGGGAACGGCAUCCGGAACUGUCAGGCUAGAGUGCAGGAGAGGAAGGUAGAAUUCCCGGUGUAGCGGUGAAAUGCGUAGAGAUCGGGAGGAAUACCAGUGGCGAAGGCGGCCUUCUGGACUGACACUGACGCUGAGGUGCGAAAGCGUGGGUAGCAAACAGGAUUAGAUACCCCAGUAGUC